AACGAACGCUGGCGGCAGGCUUAACACAUGCAAGUCGAACGCCCCGCAAGGGGAGUGGCAGACGGGUGAGUAACGCGUGGGAACAUACCCUUUUCUACGGAAUAGCUCUGGGAAACUGGAAUUAAUACCGUAUACGCCCUACGGGGGAAAGAUUUAUCGGGGAAGGAUUGGCCCGCGUUGGAUUAGCUAGUUGGUGGGGUAAAGGCCUACCAAGGCGACGAUCCAUAGCUGGUCUGAGAGGAUGAUCAGCCACAUUGGGACUGAGACACGGCCCAAACUCCUACGGGAGGCAGCAGUGGGGAAUAUUGGACAAUGGGCGCAAGCUUGAUCCAGCCAUGCCGCGUGAGUGAUGAAGGCCUUAGGGUUGUAAAGCUCUUUCACCGAUGAAGAUAAUGACGGUAACCGGAGAAGAAGCCCCGGCUAACUUCGUGCCAGCCGCCGCGGUAAGAC
rnacentral:rRNA from 1 species